CAAUGGCGUAUAUUAAAGUUGUUGCAGUUAAAAAGCUCGUAGUUGGAUUUGUGGCGUACGGUGGGUUCCGGGCACUUGUUGUCUGAGUAACUUGCUGUUGCCAUCCUUGGGUGGAACCUGUGUGGCAUUAGGUUGUCGUGCAGGGGAUGCCCAUCAUUUACUGUGAAAAAAUUAGAGUGUUCAAAGCAGGCUUAUGCCGUUGAAUAUAUUAGCAUGGAAUAAUGAGAUAGGACUUUUUUGCUAUUUUGUUGGUUUGCGCAAAGAGGUAAUGAUUAAUAGGGACAGUUGGGGGUAUUCGUAUUCCAUUGUCAGAGGUGAAAUUCUUGGAUUUUUGGAAGACGAACUACUGCGAAAGCAUUUACCAAGGAUGUUUUCAUUAA
rnacentral:rRNA from 1 species